rnacentral:lncRNA from 1 species
GUCUCAUCGCAGCCCUCUGGCAGGACAGCGCGCGUCUAAACUAAGCCGAGGCGCACUUCGCUAAGGGGACCUCUCCGUUUGGACAAUCCCGACGCCCGGCUCUACGCGGAAUUCCUCAUCUCCCACACAACCCUUUGCCGCUCUGGUAUCAGCUGGUGGCUUCUCCGUGGCCAUGCAGAGAAUAGAGACAGAACUUGAAACUGAUGUGCACAUGAGUGAGAUUCUUCAGCAAGGUGACAGACAGGAGGGUAAAGAGGAAGUAGGAUGAGCUCUUUGCUUUGAGUUUCUGUUUUCCAGGUCGGCUUGAUUGGAAAGAGGGAUGGCCGUGGUGAGAGUUGACAGUGUGCUGGUAGCCCUCGCAGCCCACGCUCGCUCUCGGCGCCUCCUCUGCCUGGGCUCCCACUUUGACGGCACUUGAGGAGCCCUCCAGCCCGCCGCCGCACUGUGGGAGCCCCUUGCUGGGCUGGCCGAGACCGGAGCCAGCUCCCUCAGCUUGCAGGGAGGUGUGGAGGGAGAGGCAUGGGCGGGAACCAGGGCUUCGCGGGUGCCUGCGGGCCAGCACGAGUUCCGGGUGGGCGUGGGCUCAGCGGGCCUCACACUGGGAGCCGCAGGCCGGCUCGCAAGUCCCGGGCAGUGAGGAGCUUACUACCCGGGCCAGCAGCUGCGGAGGGUGUGCCGGGUCCCCCAGCAGUGCCGGCCCACCGGCUCUGUGCUGGAUUUCUUGCCGUGCCUUAGCUGCCUCCCCUCGGGCAGGGCUGGGGACCUGCAGCCUGCCAUGCCUGAGUCUCCCUCCGCACUGCCAGAUGCUCCUGCCGGGCCUGAGUCUCCCCGACGAGCGCUGCCCCAUGUUCCACGGCGCCCGAUCCCAUCCACUGCCCAAGGUCUGAGGAGUGCCAGCGCACGGCGACGGAGUGGCAGGCAGCUCCACCUGCGGCCCCGGUGUGAGAUCCACUGGAUGAAGCCAGCUGGACUCCUGAGUCUGGUGGGGACUUGGAGAAUCUUUAUGUCUAGCUGGGGGAUUGUGAAUGCACCAAUCAGCACUCUGUAUCUAGCUCAAGGUUUGUAAACACACCAAUCAGCACCCUGUGUCUAGCUCAGGGUUUGUGAAUGCACCAAUCGACACUCUGUUUCUAGCUAAUUUAGUGGGGCCGUGGAGAACUUUUGUGUCGAACUCAGGGAUUGUAAACGCACCAAUCAGCACUCUGUCAAAAUGGACCAAUCAGCUCUCUGUAAAACAGACCAAUCGGCUCUCUGUAAAAUGGACCAAUCAGCAGGAUGUGGGUGGGGCCAGAUAAGAGAAUAAAAGCAGGCUGCUCCGCGCUAGCACUAGCAAGUUGCUAGAGUGGCCUGCCACAGUGUAAGUUUUGUUCUUUAGCUCUUUGCAAUAAAUCUUGCUACUGCCCACUCUUUGGGUUUACACUGCAUUUAUGAGCUGUAACACUCAUGGUGAAGAUUUACAGGUUCAGUCCUGAAGCCAGCGAGACAAAGAACCCACUGGGAAGAACAAACAACUCCAGACGCCCCAACUUAAGAGCUGUUAACACCCGAAGAUCUGCAGCUUCACUUUUGAGCCAGCGAGACCACGAACCCACCAGAAGGAAGAAACUCUGAACAGGCUGGAACGUCAGAAGGAACAAACUCAGGACAUGCCACCUUUAAGAACUGUAACACUCACUGUGAGGGUCUGCGGCUUCAUUCUUGAAGGCUGUGAGACCAAGAACCCACCAAUUUCGGACACACUGGGACCACCCUCGCUGACUGGAGGUGGUACGGUUCAUCUGGACCAGCCUCUGAUGUGGGGAAGACCAAGCGAGAGCACACUGCGGAGAGCCCAAAAGUCAGAUGUCCUGGCUUAAGCUGCUGAAGCCACCUUGGACCAUGAGUGAUCUUGAGAAUGGAAGCCACUGUCUAGAUGUUGGAACAAAGACAAUGGCCUGGGCCUCCCUGAUGACACCGCAGAGUCACCGUAUGUGUCCUGGAGUACUUGCUCUCUGCUUCUUUUUCAUGAGAGAUAAGUACAUUUUUAUCUUCUUUAGGCCACUGCUAUAUUUUUCCCGUUAAACACAGCUAUAUCCAAUCCUAACUGGUUCAACCUAUAAAAUGUGAUUAUUUCUUGUUUUAAGAUAACUAUAGCUACCAAUUAUUUUGCACUUAGUAGCUGCCAGACACUGUACUAAGUGUUUUAUGGGUGUCACCUUAUCUAAUUUGCACAACAAGAAUACUUACAAGGUAGGUAUUAUUAUCUAUAAUUUACAAAUGAGAAAAUGGAGGCUUAGAAAGCUUACAUAGUAUCUACAGGGUCAUAUUGAAAAAAGCAGAGUUCUAAACCAGGUUGGGAUGACCCCAAAACUUGUUCUAAUCUUAAUCACUGUUAUCAGUGUAAUGCAGUUAUUAUCCUCUGUGGGUAAAAGAUGCUAUUCCUGAUUCACUCACGGCAAUACGAAAUAUACAAGGAGCACAGUGUUGGCUAAUAUUUCUAGAGACUCUUACGGAAUUGUCAAGAUGUAGACAACUUUAUGUCCAAUCUGCUCCCUGAACAAGAUUGACAACAAAGACCCGGCUUGCCUUCUGUAUCACAGAUGACAACUAUCCCCAAACCUUACCUAGGUUGUCAAACAUUCACCUUUAUAAGAGAUUUGCAAACAGAAAUAACACUGACUGCAAAACUGAUGGCGGGGAUUAAAUAAGAGGAUAUAUGUAAAAUGCAUAGAAGAAAAUCAGGUACACAGUAAAUGCUUGAUGAAUGGUACCUGACGGCACCAUUAUUUAAGGGAUCCACAGUGAGACUGUGAAAAUUUUCAGGAGUCAGAAAUAUUAGGUUCAACCACAACCUCUGCAACUUGCUAGUUAUGUGAACAUUGUUCAGUCAUUUAACUUUUUGGCUUCUAAUUUUCUGAGGAAUACAUUAUUUAUAUAACAGAACUGUAAUUGGGGAUAAAGCCUUUCCAGUCCCCAUCCCAGUGCCUGACGCAUUUUAGAAUCCCAGCCAAUGAAAUUCUUCUCACUAUUAUUCUCACAGAAUUCUAAUGAACAUACUACCAACAGUGAUUUUCUCCUUGGCCCAUUAACCACACGGAAGGGAGUAUUCGCUGUGGAGUGCCUCUGUAGCUGAGGGCCCCUGGCGCGUGGUUUCAUCAGAGGCAGACAGCUGCGUGAGUCACUGUGGUGGGCAGUGUGCUGGGCCACCCUGCGGGUCCUGCCAGAGUGCUGUGGAAUUCAAGUUUGUCUUCUCCAGUUUUAGUCUCUGCACGUGCGUUGGUCUCCUUUCUGCCCCUACAGUGUGGCCAAGGCCAUUCCAGCCUCAGGAGGGCAAGAGGAGGCCUGUUGGAUGCAUCCUGAAAACACAGGCCAUCACUGUGGGUGAGAUCUACCAGGACAGAUGCCAUUCUGCAAAGUGGGUACUUUCCAUGAGAAUCCAUCCAUGUUUUUCUCUUAUUCCUUCUCUUGGCAGAUUUUCACUCUUUUCACAACCUUGUUUCAUAGACAUCAAACAAUAACACAGCACAGAAGGAAAACAAGGGUCUUCUUAUACAAAUACCAUGUAUUUAAUUCUGGCACUCAUGAUUUAUUUAUAUCAGAAAGUCAUCUUAAAUUUUUAGGAGCUCACAACAUUCAAAACCUCACACAAAUUUCUAAACUAGUAGAGAUGUCUCUGCAUCUCCCACUACUUUCUUCUGCAUGUCAAGUUUCACUUUAGGUUAGAAUAGUCAUAUAUACCCGUUGAUGGGUGCAGCAAACCACCAUGGCACAUGUAUAGCUACGUAACAAACCUGCACAUUCCGCACAUGUAUCCCAGAACUUAAAGUAAAAUAAAAAUAAAAAAAUCACAACAUUGGAAAGCCAAAAAAAAUAGCCAUAUAUAAACUUUUUCAUCUUAAAAUCCAUUUUACUCCUAACUGUCAAGGAAAAACAGAUGGUUCUAAACUCCUCCUUCUAGGCUCCUAGUGGUAAAGCAAUUUGCAGGACAACCAUGGAAGAAAGGUGCCCGCCUUCUCUAAGCUGACAUGGCCCCGCUCCCUCCCUCAGUCUGUAGCCUCAGGAGGGGACUGCUUUGCCUGUGAGUGGGAGGGAGCUACCGUGUGAGUAGUUCCCAACAGACCAUCUGAAGUCAUUUUCCCAGGUGGCAGGAGAAACACAGAGCCAGACGUUACACUGCUUUUCAAAGAGUAUCAAGUUCUGUUUGGCUUUUGUGGAAAGCCAUUUCCGAAGACCUGCCUUACUUGACUGUUUCUCCCUCUCUGGCUCUCCUGUUACCAACGUCCUAGAGUUGCCUCUGCUGCCCCAGCGAGGAUGGCGACACAAACAGCGGUGGUGUCAGCGGACAGCGGUGGUGUCAGCGGUGACCGAGGCAGGGCCGAGACUCCAGGGCCCUUCGGGUUCAAGCUGUGCCCCCUCGCGCAGUUCAGCACCUGCCAGCACUUCCAAGUGUGUGAUUGUCACGCUUGCCUGAUUACUCCUUCCUUUGGGCUCCCAUAGCAAUUUGUACAUUACUGUGGAAUUGAUCAAAUUGCUUUAUAACUAGCUGUUUAUGUGUCUUUAAUCUGUGUCAUUUUGGAUGGCAGGAAAUGCUCUUUCGGUAAUUUUUUUGUCCACACUGACUGGAAUACUGGUUGGCACAUAGUAGGUAUUCAACAGUUUUUUAUCGAGGGAAUGAAAGCUCUCUAAACCACAGCAAUCAUUUGUAGACAAAGACUCUUAGGGUGUAAUGUGAUUUAACAUCUGAUUUUUGGAAAAUAGUUACUGAGAUCAUUCCGACAAUAAUAGAGUGCAAUACCCUACCUUGAAUAAAGGAUAUUUUACUCCUUUAGUGUGACAUAUAGGUGUUUGUUAAGCCCAGAGAUUAACUUCCUUUACGACAUGGCUGAGCUGGCCCAGCGGUCCAUGUCAGGAUGUGGUGCCCUGGUUUACUCCAGGUUCAUAGCAAAUCAUUUUUCCUCUAUGAAACCUCUUUCAGAUGAUCUUUGGAGCCUGUAUCAUAUGUGCAGGGUCAAAAAACGGGCUGGAUACAGUGUUCCACUUCCAGGGAGCAUCUCUAGUUUGAGCCCAGACCACCAACCCCCAGCAAGGCCCUAAUCCAUACAGUUAAAUCCUUGGUAGUGACUUUGUCAGUUUCCACCUCUGGAUCUUUAAGGAAGCAGCACUUCCUGAAUGUGGCAUUGCUUUGUGGAGACAGUGACUGAGUAAGUUAGGGGUGAUCCUUGCUACUGCUGGUGAGCCAGGCACCCAGAGAGAGUCUACCACUUGCUGCGUGAGCCUGGCCUGUGCUUUGUCCACCAAGCUGGUCUAAGCGGACUCACAGAAGGCAGAGGUAUUGUGGAAGCUCUGAUGACUGCCCCAUCUCUCCUUUAGGACAGAAGCACUUACUCCACCAGCUUCUUGGAAUGUUGGCAGCUGAAGGGGUGGCAAGCCUUUGCUGUAGCUACACCACAAUUCAACUCCUUUGUCUACCCAAUCCCACUUCCUUCAGUUCUCCAUGGGUAUUGAUCUGGAGAGAAACUCUCAAACUUUCUUCUUGCAAAUUUAACCUCAGCUCCGUUUCUUGGAGAACCUCACCUAAGACAGGUGGCAACUCUAACCCUCCUGCAUACCUAAACUUACUGAUAGAUUUAGGGAAUAAGAGAGGGAGACAGAGAAUGAAGCUGAUAUCAUCUAGACUCAUGACAACUAGUUCUGCAGACUCAUGUUCAUCUGGGGCACUGACUCUCCCAGUUAGCAGGAGGACUCUAACACCAGCUUUUGCCUAAACCCUAGCCUCUUAUAAGCUACAAUCAUUUAGUCACGACCAUAGGGAACUUCCCGGACUGAGGUCUAUAAAGCAUUCAUAAAAAUUCAGAUCUUCAGGAAUCAUAGCAGGAUAGUAAAAAGGCAAAACUUUUACCUUUAAGGAAACUCAGAUUCAAAUUCUUGCUCCUGCAAUUAUGAGAUAAUAACACCAGGUUGCUUAUGUUGUCAUCCCAAUGUUCAGUGUCAUCUGUGAAUGAUAACAAAAGCCACCUCAAAUAACUCUUGUGAGGUUUAAGAGAAAAUUAUGCGAGACUUAAAAUACAAUCCGUGAUAUAUAAGAACACACUGGAUUUUUUAAAUUGAGAGAUUCUAAGGUGGGGUGCUGCGGCUCACGCCUGUAAUUCCAGCACUUUGGGAGGCCAAGGCGGGUGGAUCACCUGAGGUGAGGAGUUUAAGACCAGCCUGGCCAACAUGGAGAAACCCCAUCUCUACUAAAAACACACAAAUUAGCCAGGCACAGUGGCGUGUGCCUGUAAUCCCAGCUACACGGGAGGCUGAGGCAGGAGAAUAGCUUGAAUCUGGGAGACAGAGGUUGCAGUGAGCUGAGAUCACACCACUGCACUCCAGCCUGGGUGACAGAGCCAGACUCUGUCUCAGAAAAAAAAAAAAGAGAUUCGAACUCCUGGUUUAGUACUUAGCCCUUGUUUAAAGACUGUGCAACAGGCUUAAUAACCCCCAUUUCAAAUUAUUUAAUUUUCAGAAUUUUUUAUGAUAGAAAACCAUUCUAGCUUACCAAACGUCUUCUGUAAUAGCUUCUGCUCCUUUCUGCUUCAUGGCUAUCCAUGCUUUCUAUGAUGUUCUACUAACUCACUGAAUAUUUUUUUAAAUUUAGAGUUAUGAAGACUUAUUCCAAUCCUUAGUGAAUUAACCAAACUCUGAAGAGAAUAUUUUCAUCUCUGUUCAGUGGGUUCUGUCUGAUCCAGGAAAAAAAAAAAAAAGUUUUCUGAUGGAACUCAUCAAGAGCAGCCUUUAUCCCUGCCUUCCCUGGCUCCGAAUGUUGUGUUGCUUUUAAAGCAGUCAAACACAUGAAAACCAGACUUUUCUUAGAGCUCUAGAACUUCCUUCGUGGUACUCAAGGCUUCCUGGGAAUUCCUUCGUCGUUCUCAAGGCUGUCCUGGAGCUUCCUUCAUGGUACCCAGGGCUUCCUGGAGCUUCCUUCGUGGUACCCAGGGCCGUCCCGGGGCUUCCUUCAUGGUUCUCAGGGCCGUCCCGGGGCUUCCUUCGUGGGGAGCUUCCUUCGUGGUACCCAGGGCCGUCCCGGGGCUUCCUUCGUGGUUCUCAGGGCCGUCCCGGGGCUUCCUUCGUGGUUCUCAGGGCCGUACUGGGGCUUCCUUCAUGGGGAGCUUCCUUCGUGGUACCCAGGGCCGUCCCGAGGCUUCCUUCGUGGUACCCAGGGCCGUCCCGGGACUUCUUCGUGGUACUCAAGACUGUCCUGGGCACACGGUUUCUGUGCUCGGACACCCAAUGCCUGAACUCAGCAUCUGACACAGUUCCUGGGUUUCCAAGUGAGCAAACGCUUUCUCUUUGCUCUUGGGCAUGAGGUCACAGCCUUCUCCUUUCCCGUCAGGACCGCAUUCCCAGGUUUUCUCCAUUUCUCUUUAAAGGAAAGUCGUCCGCGUUGCUUCCUGACCUGGAGUGUUUAGCCGCGGAAGACACUGGCCUCCUCUGGAGUCGCUGUGCAGAGCUGCGUCUUCUUCCCCCUGCACAGCGACAGCGCAGACUUGCUUCCCCCCAUUCCCAACAGGCACCUUUUCUCUUUCAAAGGUCCCACAUAUACGACUUACAAGGCAGUAAAAGGGUAAUAUGUGUGCCAGUACCUUUCAGGUGAAGUGGCAAAUAGGAGGGCGAUAAGGGUUAAAUACUUACCUGCGGCGGAACGCUGCAGUUUUUAUUCGUUUACAUAAACGAAUACAAUGUAUAUAUUAGCUCCUGCAUACGCGGGGAAAAGUGAGGGAAGAGGAGCGGGAGAGGUGGCGGCUGUGGGAGCGGAGCGAGCAGGUUCCCGGGAGGCUGCAGCACAGAGGCCCCACGCAGGCGGGCUCCCCGCGCUCGGCUCCCGCCUCCUCCCGGCCGUUCUCUGUUCUUGCACUUGGCCGCGCACGGACGCGCAUCUCUCCUCGCUGCCGGUGGCCAUGCAGAAAGCUGGCUUAGUCUCCAUCCUAGGUCCGCAUCUCAGUUUUUUUGUUUGUUUUUGUCUUUUUUUUUUUUUUGUCACAAACCGAAGUGGGGAAAACAUUUGUUGGAGUUCGUUUUUUUUCACAAGGUCAGUGUGUGCCCAUUACCCACUGGGAGGAGGACAAUUUGAGCACACGAUCACAUUGAAUGAGAAGACGAAAGACGUGGCCGGGCGCGAUGGGUCACGCCUGUAAUCCCAGCACUAUGGGAGUCUGAGGCAGGAGGAUCACGAGGUCAAGAGAAGGAGACCAUCCUGGCCAACAUGAUGAAACCCUGUCUCUACUAAAAGCACAAAAAUUAUCUGGGUAUGGUGGUGCGAGCCUGUAGUCCCAGCUGCUUGGGAGGCUGAGGUGGGAGAAUCACUUGAACCUGGAGGGCGGAGGUUGCAGUGAGCCGAGAUAGCUCCACUGCACUCCAGCCUGGGCUACAGAGCCGGACUCCAUUUCUAAAAAAAAAAAAAAAAAAAAAAAAAAAACAGAAAAGAAAAAGAAAACGAAAACGAAAGACAUAAUGUCGUAAUGAUGAUGGACAAUUCCAGUAAUUAAAAUUAUUUUAGAAAAGCAUUGAUUUCUUUUAAAUUAAAAUAUGCCCAGAAGCUUAUAUUUUAUAUGUAUAUUCAAAUAACUUUUUGGUUAUUCAGUCUUCUUUGUUUUAAAACACUUGUGAGCUGACUUUUCUAUUUAUACAGGAGGAUGUUCUAUAUCUCAGAACAAUAAUUGCGAAUGCCAUAUAAAUACUUUAAAUUUACAAGAGUAUCUCUCACUAGCUAACCUACAAUUCCUUUAGUGCAAUAGCUGGGGAAAAGAGUAGGAUUCUAGGGAAAACAGUUCUUGGUUUUAACUUCAUUAUGUUCUGCAGCUUUAUUAUCAUUGAAAUUCUCCAAAUUAAAAUGCAAAAGCUCAGCUUCUUGGCUGGGCUGCUUACUUAACCUUAAUAAAAUAUAAGGGUCUGUUUCAUUAAUCAGAAAUGCACCAGACACAGUGCAUAAAUUUUAUCUUCCACUUUGUCCUUUGUAUUUCAGAAUGAUAAUAAUAAUAAUAAAAUCUUGGGUUUGGCAGGACAAUCAUGUUCUCUUUGUUUCUAUCAUGUUUCUAUGUAAAAUAGAUUUCUCAGACAGACUAAAUGCCUUAAGGGGUAAAAAUUCCUAUGAUCCUGUUCUCUGGAAAUCUUUAAAAAUAGAAUAAACUUUCCUUUGUCUGGGUGUGGUUUAAGCACAGGCCAUGUUUGGCAGAAGGAUUGUUUAACUGACCUGCUGAUGUUGCUUUAAGCUGCAUGAUCACUUGGAUGAAUUUUCCCUUAAUCCUUGCCAGAUUUAAUUUAUCACAACAAUACUUGUUUUAUAGAUGUUGUAAAACAAAAGUCGGGUGCAAUCUUCUUUUUCAUUGUAAAGUAAUACAACAGUUUAUUUCUCAAAUUGGAGAAAGUAAAAUUAAAUCAGGAACAUGUAUGAUGUGUUUUCCUUCCUCAGAUGUCUCCUGAAGGAAAGUGAAAUGUGCUAAAUAGCAUGCCAUUUAAGACAAUAUCUUUUCAGACAACUGGACCAAAUCAGCAAAACAGAACCAUGUGUUCCAUCAGGGCCGCCUUCACGUUGUGCCGUGCAUCUGAGGCUGGGCAUCUGGACGGAGGGAGGAGACUGACCACGCGGAAGUGUGCUGGUGGGCGCUGGGGGGACAGCCAGUGGGACGGGGUGGAGAAGUGGUUUCACAGGUGUGCUUACCCCGUGUCAGUACAGCCCCCGUUGUGCAUGCGUCAUUCUAUCCUCUUCCCAGACGUGCCGUCCAGUCCCCCUGCCUGGAGUGAUGUGUUAUGAAAGUCUUCACUUUCCUAAGAAGCCCCAAAGAAAAGCAUAAGGUUAUCAUUCAGCACAUCAAUCACUAGCACACA